rnacentral:tRNA from 1 species
CGCGAGGUAGAGCAGUGGUAGCUCGUCGGGCUCAUAACCCGAAGGUCGCUGGUUCGAGUCCAGUCCUCGCUA